AGGCGGUGCGCGCGGCGGGCUUCCGGCGAGAGUGGGCCGGGCGGCCGGUGUCCCGGCUCGUUCCCGAAACCCGAUCCCCGUGGUUCGCGACCCCGCGGCCACGCCCGUGGGCGCGGUGUGCUGAAGGGGCGGAUGCGCGCCCCGGGCGCCCGUGGCCUGCGGCUCGGGGUCCGUGUUCCCACCCGACGUGGGCGUCGUGCCCGGCAGGGCGUGGGGAGGCCGGCGCGACGCCUCGGGGCCGAGGCGCUUCCCGGGGGGAUCCCGCUGCACGCGGGCGCCUUUCCGCCGGGAGGCUGCACCGCGCGGCCCUGGCCGUGCGGCCGAGCGGGCCCGGGGUCGUGGCGCCCCGGUGACGCCUCCCCUGCACCCCCUGCCGCAGGAGUCAGCAACAUGAUAGCCAGGCUGGCCAAGACCUGCACGCUCCGCAUCAGCCCGAGUCGGCUGAACUUCAUCCUCGCCGACAGGGUGGCGCACGGAGGCGUGAGCAUGUGGUGCGAGCUGGAACAGGAGAACUUCUUCAGCGAAUUUCAGAUGGAAGGCGUGUCGGCAGAAAGCAAUGCGAUUUAUUUAGAGCUGAUAUCGGAGAACCUGUCUCGAGCCUUGAAAACGGCCCAGAACGCCAGAGCCUUGAAGAUCAAGCUGACGAACAAACACUUCCCCUGCCUCACCGUCUCCAUAGAGCUGCUAUCUGUAUCGAACAGUAGUCGCAUUGUGACCCACGAUAUCCCCAUAAAGGUCAUUCCUAGGAAACUGUGGAAGGAUUUGCAGGAACCGACAGUCCCCGACUCGGAUGUUAGUAUUUAUUUGCCACUCCUGAAGACUAUGAAGAGCGUUGUGGAAAAAAUGAAAAACAUCAGCAAUCACCUCACCCCUGAUGGGCAUCCCAGAAUAUUCACAAGGACUGUUACGUAUCCUUUCAGUCCAGUGUUUCCGGGUACAGGAGAGCGGGCUGGGAAUCGAACCCUAUUUCUGGGGAGUGAAAAAAAAAGGCUAAGGGAGCACGGGGAAAGGGGACCCCACACCUGUGCUUUGAAGCUGUUCUCUGGCAGAUCACGCGGGACAGACAGACAGGAGGAGCAAGUGUCUCAUUCGCUUCCCAGGUUCAUGGUGUCAGUGUGGCGGGGUGUGAGGUCCUGGGCUCCCGCGUUGUCUUUCUUCCCCGUCGCCUUCACCGCGGUGCUGUCUGGGGACGAUGCCGUCUGGUUCUGCCUCCUGUGUGAGGGGCCGGGACUUGCUAGUGGGUGAGGGCGGGGGCCAGGUACCCGCAUUUCCCGUUCCCUCUGAAGUCCCAGGUGUGCCUCUCGGCUCGCUCGGGAGCUGUCUGGCUAGCACGGACGCGCCGUCCGUCUCUGGACCUGCUGUCGGCCUCGAGCCCGGUGUCCUUCAGAUCCUCUGCAUCUCCGGUUCUGUUCGGUGAUCUGUGUUUCCGCCCCGUCUUCUCUUACUGCUCGUGGCUUCCUGCCUGUUCACUUCCCUUUGCGAUACUUCCCCUUAUAUUUCAGGUUCCUUCCUGCGCUCUGUCCGCUCUCCUUGUGCAUCUGCAGGCAGCCUGGUCACGUCAUGUCAGAGCGUCCCUGAUUCUGUCCUGCGCUCUCCCUUCGUAGCCUCGCUGUCCCCAGUGUCGCCCAGCCCCUCCUGAAUCACAAGUCCCUCCCUCUCCGCGUGCUUGGUGCAGCACCCCAGGCCCUGAGUGCUGCUUGGCCAGUGUAGCUCCUCGCUUUCCAGAAUGUCUUGGCUUGGGGUCUGACCACAACCCCUUAGGAUGCGUUUUCCUUCCAGGUGUGGGGGGGCCGGGUGGGUCCUGGCUGCAGAACUGUGGGGUUCUCUGUUCCGUCGUGACCUCAAAGUGGUGAGGCACGUGGCCUCCCCCGUAGCCAGCUCCCCUGGGCUUCCUGGGUCCUCCCCCUCGUGCUCCGCCCACCCUGUGCAGGCCCCCCAGAUCCCACCCCCUCCCUGUCUCCUGGCAGAGCCCCCAGUGCUCAUGUUCCCAGGUCUCUGCCGAGUUCUCCAGGCUCCCCCCGUGGGCGCCUCAGGCCUCGUCUCCUCUCUGUUGCUGAUGCCGGAUAAUUGAAGCAAACCUAAAUGGAGACCUGAACUUGAAAAUAGAAUCUGAACUAGUGUGUGUUACAACUCAUUUUAAAGAUCUCGGAAAUCCUCC